GGGGUCGUGAGAUAAUCAGGUAGUCUGCGAGGCUCCAGAGGUGCUCUGAUGGAGCGUUGAUUCCAAGAUGAUAGGAAGAUACCUCGUCGUGGGGGUUCAAAUCCCUCCGACCCCA
rnacentral:tRNA from 1 species